rnacentral:piRNA from 1 species
UUAAAGGAAGAUGGAAGUGGAAG